GACAGAGGGUGCAAACGUUGUUCGGAAUUACUGGGCGUAAAGCGCGUGUAGGCGGCCAUCUAAGUCGGGCGUGAAAUCCCACGGCUCAACCGUGGAAGUGCACUCGAAACUGGAUGGCUAGAGUCCUGGAGAGGAAGGUGGAAUGUUUGGUGUAGAGGUGAAAUUCGUAGAUAUCGGGAGGAACACCUGUGGCGAAAGCGGACGUCACUGGA
rnacentral:rRNA from 1 species